GAAAUGCGAUAAGUAAUGUGAAUUGCAGAAUUCAGUGAAUCAUCGAAUCUUUGAACGCACAUUGCGCCCGCUAGCAUCCUGGCGGGCAUGCCUGUCCGAGCGUCAUUUCAACCAUCAAGCCCCCCCGGGCUUGUGUUGGGGCACCGCGGCCGCCGCGGUCCCUGAAAACUAGUGGCGGGCUCGCUGUCACUCCGGGCGCAGUACUAUAUCUCGCUCUGGAUCGUGCGGCGGGUGCCGGCCGUUAAACACCCCCCUUCAUACAAGGUUGACCUCGGAUCAGGUAGGAAUACCCGCUGAACUUAA
rnacentral:misc_RNA from 1 species